AGUCCGCACUUGUGGCGCGCAGACUCAGUGGUAAUGGAAGGAGGCUCAUAAUCUUAUGUGAUUGUAGUUUUUACUAAUGAAGAAUGUUUAAAGGUGUCAAAAAGCCGGGUGUUAGAGCCAAGCGGUCUCGUUUCACACCACCGAGACGGUCCACGAGUUCCUAUUAGGCUGGAAGACUCUAUUUUUGAAACAGUGUGUGAUCGUCCCCAUCUAGUGGCUCUAAAACAGAUUGAGAUAGCCCCCAAGUGGACAGUGGGAAGCCCUACCUGCAAACCUACUCUACAAACAGGCUGCUAAGCCCAGGAAGACAGAGAAAGAACACACAUCAGUACCACUCUCCUUGAAAUAUAAGGCCACAUGGGAAAUGCUGGCCUAUGGUGCGGGAGGAGGGUAGAUACCCAAACCAGGAUUAAAAAGCCAACCGACCCUAUUUACACGUAAGAUAUUGGUUCUCUCCUCUCUUCUUCCCACCCCACCCCAGGACCUUGGUAUAUAAUGCAGACUGACCCCAAAUGCUCUUUCUACCACCGCCUCCCACAUGCUGGGAUUACAGGCCAGUCACAAGGUGCGUUGGGAAGACAACAUCCUGUUCUUGAGAAGCUUGAAUUGAUGGUCACACCUGAAACAUCAAAGGCUUUAGAAGCUGAAUCGGAUCCACUGUAUUCAUCUAACAACAUCCCCUUUGGCUUACCCAGAGGAGUCAUCAGUGGAAAGUUCUAAUGCAAUAGCCAUUUCAUGUAUGGCUCUAAGAAAGUGCCCCAUCCAAGAAAACAAGGGCAAUCUGUGCCCUUCCCCACCAUACCUUGGCCUGUUUCCACAUUCUUUAACUAUACUAGCUAACAAGCUGAGGAAUAUAACUGAAGUAUGUUCCUAAGUUCUGUGAGCCAUUCUGACAAAUUAUCGACCCUGAGAAGGAAGUGGUGGGUGUCUCAAAUUGAACACAAAGAAGAUACCACACUUGCCUGCCUACUUCUUUGAUGUGUGCCUUUUUUCCCAAAGUCAACUUUUUCAUGUUAUUUCACAGUAAAAUCUGCUUCUCCUCUGACUCAGACAAACCAUUUCUGACCACAGUCUUCAUAUUUGAGUCCUACUGUUUCAAAACUCCUACCAAGGAUUGGUAGGUGGAUUUACAUAUGAGGUACCCAUGGAGCAUUAUGGCUGUUUCUUGGUAGCUGUGUCUCCUGGUGUUCAGACAAAAUGCUCUUUGGUGGUUUAUGCUGUGGUUGGCUUCUCCCCAACAUAGCAGAAACUAAGUACCAGGAAAAACCUAAACCAACCGCCACACAUCCAUAUGAUUCUGCAUCCUCAAGAAACCCAAUUUCCUUGCCAUUUUCUUUGCCAGCUUGCCUCUCCUUUUAAAGAAGAUCAUGGGAAGAAUCAUCCAAGAAAAGAGAUCUGGUUCACCAUGGUUUGGGAAAGGAAAAACAGUCACCUUACCCUAUGAAUAUACCAUCUCAUAAAUAUUCAUGCAACAUCUUAAAAACCCACAACAUAUGCUAAACAUGAUGCGUGCCUAUAGCUCCAGCAUGUGGGCCAUAUCUGCCAGUCUGGUAGAGGAUACUUUACUUUACAUCCCUCCUUCUAUGAUGGGAGAAUUAGUUAGGGGAUAUGUGUUCUUUCUUGUUCUUGGCGGAUUCAUGCACUUGCUACUCAGUGGACAGUUUUAUCUUGUGUAUGUGUGGGCCAGUGGUUAACCUUGGGCAUCAUUUCUCAAUAGCUCAGCACAUUGGCCUGGAGCAUGCUAAGUAGGGUAGCCUGACUGGCCAGUGUGCCUCUGGAACUCAUUUAUCUCCACCACCACUAGAAUUACAAGUGUGCAUCACCACAUUUAGUUUUCUUAAACUUUUUAAAGAUUUAUUUAUUUUAUGUGCAUUGGCAUUAUUUGGCUGCAUAUGUAUCUGUGUGAAGGUACCAGAUCCCCUGAAACUGGAGUUACAGACAGUGAUGAGCUGACAUGUGGGUGCUGGGAAUUGAACCCAGGUCCUCUAAAGAGCAGCCAGAGCUCUUACCGCUGAGCCAUCUCUCCAGCCCCAACAUACUUGUUUUUCAGCAUUGACUCUGGGGAUCAAACUCAGGUUCUUGUGCUUGCAAGAGAAUCACUUUACCCAAUUAGCUACCCCCAACCCCAUAACCCCACUCUUUCUUUGUAAUAUCUAAGACCUCUUUAUAUGGCAGGGAAAUUAAAAAACAAAACAAACAAACAAACAAAACUAGCUUUUUCUUAGAACAUUAUAGAGAGCUACAGAUUUUUUUUUUUUAUAAAAGAUUUAUUUAGAACAGCCAGUGCUCUUAACCACUGAGCCAUCUCUCCAGCCCCCUGCCACAGGUUAAAAGAGGCUGAAUAAAAACAUUCAUGCCACUCUACUCCUUGGUAAUAGGAAUUCCUUGAUCCGGUUUUGUUCUUGAUUGUAUAGCAGCUAUGAUUAUGUAAACAUCUGAAGAGAUGACCCCCCCCCUCGCCCCCUUCCUACAUUCUUUUCAGGGUUUAAAUCAUAUCCAUUCCCCCAGAGGUCUUGUCACUUGCCAAUGCCUCAAAAUAUUAGGUGAGGGCCCUGCUGCAUCCUCUUUGGCUCUCCUAAAUUAAGCUCUGGGCUAAAACUAUUUUAACUGUCACUUAGCUAUCACAACACCAAAAGUAUCAAUGACAAAAAGAAAAAAAAAAAAA